UACGUAGGGUCCGAGCGUUGUCCGGAGUUACUGGGCGUAAAGCGCUCGCAGGUGGUCCGUCGCGUCGUGCGUGAAAGACCCCGGCUCAACUGGGGAGGGUCGUGCGAUACGGGCGGACUGGAGGCCAGUAGGGGGAUGCGGAAUUCCGGGUGUAGUGGUGGAAUGCGUAGAGAUCCGGAGGAACACCAGCGGCGAAGGCGGCAUCCUGGACUGGUCCUGACACUCAGGAGCGAAAGCGUGGGGAGCGAGUCCGG
rnacentral:rRNA from 1 species